GAACGGUCACACUUCGCGUCACACAUUUUUUAAGUCGCAUCGAAUUCUUGUUUCGCCCUGCAUUUUCAGCGAAUUUGCCGAAUUUUCCAUAAUGCCAGCGGUCGUGCGUAUAAAGCGGCGAAUCGACGAGGAGCCCCACACAGCUUUUGUGUUAAAUGGCAAGCGGCGGCGCCUCCACAACGAUGAGAACUCUUUGGAGGACUCGGGAGCGGUGGCGGGAGCAGCGGCAUCAGACAAAGACGAACUGACCACCGUGCUCAAGUUCGCCGGCACGCUGGAAAAGCAGGACGACUCUGCCACCCGUCAGUUUGCUGCUGCCAGACUUAACAAGACCACGGCCCGUGAGUUGGUGCAACAGCAGCGAUCCAACGAUGCGGCUAUUGCCAGUGCUUUGAGGCGGGAUCGUCAGCGUCAGGAGGCGCAGCAGAAUGCCCGUGAGCAGCGUUUCCGGGUGGUAAACUGUCUGCGGAGCACCCUCGAGGACAACGCCGCCGAAACAGAGUUCCCAGAGAACCAGAACCCGGAGGCCAGCAGUCAAAUCACCAUUGUGGACAUUGAAUCUCAACAGCAGCAACAGCAGUCGGGAGCGGAGAAUCCCUUAAAUCUCGAUCAACAGAACGCCAUAGAGCUCAGCCAUGAUCAGCAACAGCCCGCUGAUUCCGAUGUGGGUUACGUUUACGAUCUAUAUGUGCCCGAGAACGAGAUGCAGGCCGCCUAUGUCGAUAUGAUGGACGACAACUACCUAAGGUUUGUCAUACAUAUUGAGCCGCAGAAAACGCUGAGCCUUACCAAUUACUAUAUGUAACCGAUUACUAUAUAUAUUAUACAUAUGGCAUAUAUGUAAGCGGUGUGUCUGUGUGUCGGUGCUAGCGUAUCUGUGUGGGUUGUAUUAUCCGUUUAAUUACUACAACAACUGCUACUGGUAAACAUGAGAAUAACAAAAAGAAGAGAAAGAGAGAGACAAAGCCCGGGCAAUAAAGAAGUGUGAUGACACCCAACACCCCACCCACGACAAUAAAAAAAGGACUGCAACUGGCAACUCACAUCACGUAUAGUUCAUUAAAAUCAGCAUCUGACAAAUGCCUAAAAAGCUAACGAUUGAAAGGAUUGUUUUUAUGAGAUUAACAUUGCACUAUUUGAAAAAAAGGCUGCUGAAAACAACAUUUUAAGCCUGUGCUUGUGAGAUUCGGUAUAAUUUUUAUCAAUGUAUAAUCUACUAUAAAAAUAUGUCAUAAAAAAAUUAUUUUAAAAAUGUAUCAUAAAUAUGUAAAGUUUUCGCAUUUCCCUCUUGCCAAAGUCUUUAAAAAAAUAAAUAUUUUUAGGUUUUUUAAUAUAUACGAAUUUCAUCGUUUUUUCAAUUGUUUUUACGCACAAUUAGUGCAGUCUUUCGAUAGAAUUUUAGGCAAAUGUCUCAUACCAUAAGUUCUUAGAUUUAAUUAGCAAAUAAAUUAGUAUAAUUUAGCUUAACAAGCACACGCACACACACACCGCAUAUUCUAAAACUGUUUUCACUGAGUAUUUUUCAUUUACUUUUCGCCAGUUGUCAGUUGCCUUUUUUGUUAUAUUUUGCAUUCCUAAACACAGAAAACAAUAGUGCUGAGGUCUAGUUAAGUGCUUAGUUUAGCUAAGUUUUGCUUUAUUUUUGUUGGGGUCUAGCGUUGCCCGAAAUCGAAAGUAAACUGAAUAAAGAAAUCGAAUUAAAUACAUGACAAA